AGAGUUUGAUCAUGGCUCAGGAUGAACGCUAGCGGCAGGCUUAAUGCAUGCAAGUCGAGGGGCAGCACGAAUAGCAAUAUUUGGUGGCGACCGGCGCACGGGUGCGUAACACGUAUACAAUCUACCUUAAACAGGGGGAUAGCCUUUCGAAAGAGAGAUUAAUACCCCGUAAUAAAUUGAAUGGCAUCAUUUGAUUUUGAAAGCUCCGGCGGUUUGAGAUGAGUAUGCGUCUGAUUAGCUAGUUGGUGAGGUAACGGCUCACCAAGGCGACGAUCAGUAGGGGAUCUGAGAGGACUAACCCCCCACACUGGUACUGAGACACGGACCAGACUCCUACGGGAGGCAGUAGUAAAGAAUAUUGGUCAAUGGAGGCAACUCUGAACCAGCCAUGCCGCGUGCAGGAUGACGGCCCUAUGGGUUGUAAACUGCUUUUAUACAAGAGAAAACCCUGGUACGUGUACCAGGUUGAUAGUAUUGUAAGAAUAAGCAUCGGCUAACUUCGUG
rnacentral:rRNA from 1 species